rnacentral:rRNA from 1 species
AUUGAACGCUGGCGGCAUGCUUUACACAUGCAAGUCGAACGGUAACAGGCCGCAAGGUGCUGACGAGUGGCGCACGGGUGAGUAAUGCAUCGGAACGUGCCCAGUCGUGGGGGUUAACUACUCGAAAGAGUAGCUAAUACCGCAUACGAUCUAUGGAUGAAAGCGGGGGACCGUAAGGCCUCGCGCGAUUGGAGCGGCCGAUGUCAGAUUAGGUAGUUGGUGGGGUAAAGGCUCACCAAGCCAACGAUCUGUAGCUGGUCUGAGAGGACGACCAGCCACACUGGGACUGAGACACGGCCCAGACUCCUACGGGAGGCAGCAGUGGGGAAUUUUGGACAAUGGGCGCAAGCCUGAUCCAGCAAUGCCGCGUGCAGGAAGAAGGCCUUCGGGUUGUAAACUGCUUUUGUACGGAACGAAACGGCUCUGGUUAAUACCCGGGGCUAAUGACGGUACCGUAAGAAUAAGCACCGGCUAACUACGUG